UACGGGGGGGGCAAGCGUUGUUCGGAAUUACUGGGCGUAAAGGGCUCGUAGGUGGCCAACUAAGUCAGACGUGAAAUCCCUCAGCUUAACUGGGGAACUGCGUCUGAUACUGGAUGGCUUGAGUUUGGGAGAGGGAUGCGGAAUUCCAGGUGUAGCGGUGAAAUGCGUAGAUAUGUGGAGGAACACCGAUGGCGAAGGCAGCCCCCUGGGCCUGCACUGACGCUCAUGCACGAAAGCGUGGGGAGCAAACAGG
rnacentral:rRNA from 1 species